rnacentral:rRNA from 1 species
AUUGAACGCUGGCGGCAGGCCUAACACAUGCAAGUCGAGCGGUUGAAGGGAGCUUGCUCCUGGAUUCAGCGGAGGACGGGUGAGUAAUUCCUAGGAAUCUGCCUGGUAGUGGGGGAUAACGUCCGGAAAAGGGCGCUAAUACCGCAUACGUCCUGAGGGAGAGAGUGGGGGAUCUUCGGACUUCACGCUAUCAGAUGAGCCUAGGUCGGAUUAGCUAGUUGGUGGGGUAAAGGCCUACCAAGGCGACGAUCCGUAACUGGUCUGAGAGGAUGAUCAGUCACACUGGAACUGAGACACGGUCCAGACUCCUACGGGAGGCAGCAGUGGGGAAUAUUGGACAAUGGGCGAAAGCCUGAUCCAGCCAUGCCGCGUGUGUGAAGAAGGUCUUCGGAGUGUAAAGCACUUUAAGUUGGGAGGAAGGGCAGUAAGUUAAUACCUUGCUGUUUUGACGUUACCAACAGAAUAAGCACCGGCUAACUUCGUG